UCCAGCCCGAAAUGUCAGUAAUACCAGGCUGAGAAACCCUGCUUUAGAGAGAAAUGUUUCUACUAAGUUGGAGUUGUCUUUAUAAAAUCAAAAUACAGAGGGGCAAAAAUUAAGUUUGGUAAGAAUGUUAACAUUGAAGAAUACCUUAACCCCUUAUUUCAUGUUGAUCAAUCUUAAAUCUAGCAAAGGACUCAUUUAUUCUUUCUUCUCCACCUAUCUUUACUCAGAGAUGAUCUUUAGUUCCAUUGCAUAAUGACGAGAUUUUAAUUAGAUCAUAGAUGGGGGAAAUGCUAAAGACUACAGGAAUGACUAGCACCUCCAAAUACACCAAUCCGGGUGAAGUAAUCACCAGAGCAUAAGGCCCUUUGGGUUCUGUUCCUUUGCAAUUGCGUGGAUUCAUGGCAUACUUUCCUUCCAGGAAAAAAACGUGACUACCAGCGUCUGGGAUGGCCCAGCCCAGACGAAUGCCUCAAACUCCGCUGGGUAGAGCUGACUGCCAUCGUGAGUACCUGGCUUGCAGUUUCUUCAAAAAACAUUGACAUCACAGAACACAUAGAUUUUGCCACCCCUAUACAGCAGCCAGCAAUGGAGCCUCUUUGCAAUGGCAAUCUCCCCACGAGUAUGCAUACCCUGGACCACUUGCAUGGGGUUUCCAACCGAGCCAGCCUGCACUACACAGGGGAGAGUCAGUUAACAGAGGUAUUACAAAAUCUCGGUAAAGACCAAUAUCCACAACAGUCGCUUGAACAGAUUGGCACCCGAAUUGCCAAAGUUUUGGAAAAGAACCAGACGUCCUGGGUCCUCUCCAGCAUGGCAGCCCUCUACUGGAGGGUGAAAGGCCAAGGAAAGAAGGCAAUCGACUGCCUCCGCCAGGCUCUGCACUAUGCGCCACACCAGAUGAAGGAUGUGCCCCUGAUUAGCCUGGCCAACAUCUUGCACAAUGCCAAGCUCUGGAAUGACGCCGUCAUAGUAGCCACCAUGGCAGUAGAGAUCGCACCACACUUUGCUGUGAACCACUUCACUCUGGGCAAUGUCUACGUGGCAAUGG
rnacentral:sRNA from 1 species